rnacentral:rRNA from 1 species
AAGCACGGACCAAGGAGUCUAACAUGUGCGCGAGUCAUUGGGAAUGUAAACCCAAAGGCGUAAUGAAAGUAAAGAUUUGAUUGCAAAUUAGAGGAGAGAUCAUGGCUCUGCGUGGCAUCCCGCAAGGGUUGCUGUGCAGGGUAUGCGCAUCUCCGGGACGUCUAUACCUCUGAAGGUGGGGCGUACCUAGAGCGUACACGUUGGGACCCGAAAGAUGGUGAACUAUGCCUGGUCAGAACGAAGUCAGGGGAAACCCUGAUGGAGGUUCGUAGCGAUUCUGACGUGCAAAUCGAUCGUCGGAACUGGGUAUAGGGGCGAAAGACUAAUCGAACCAUCUAGUAGCUGGUUCCCUCCGAAGUUUCCCUCAGGAUAGCUGGCGCUUUUUUAACCAGUCUCAUCCGGUAAAGCGAAUGAUUAGAGGCCUUGGGGCCGAAACGACCUCAACCUAUUCUCAAACUUUAAAUGGGUGAGAAGUCAGGCUUGCUUGAUCGAAGCUCUGACAAUGGAUGGCGAGUGCCAAGUGGGCCACUCUUGGUAAGCAGAACUGGCGCUGUGGGAG